rnacentral:rRNA from 1 species
AGCGAACGCUGGCGGCGUGCUUAACACAUGCAAGUCGAACGGAUCCGGGGGGCAACCCUCGGGUUAGUGGCGAACGGGUGAGUAACACGUGGGUAAUCUCCCCCCGAGUGAGGGAUAAUCUUGCGAAAGCGGGUCUAAUACCGCAUGACGCUUCGGGACGUAAGUCUUCGAAGUUAAAGCCGUAAGGCGCUUGGGGAUGAGCCUGCGUCCUAUUAGCUAGUUGGUAGGGUAAUGGCCUACCAAGGCGAUGAUGGGUAGCCGGCCUGAGAGGGUGAUCGGCCACACUGGAACUGAGACACGGUCCAGACUCCUACGGGAGGCAGCAGUGAGGAAUUUUGCGCAAUGGGCGAAAGCCUGACGCAGCGACGCCGCGUGGAGGAAGACGGCCUUCGGGUUGUAAACUCCUGUCAGAGGUGAAGAAUGCCCGCAAGGGCUUGACGGUAACCUCAGAGGAAGCCCCGGCUAACUACGUGCCAGCCGCCGCGGUAACAC